AUAUCUGAGACUAACUUCCGAUAACCUCCUGGUUGUUAACAUUUUGCACUCGGGAGAUGACAGACAGUCCCAACUUAACCCUGAUGUAGUUACUCCAAAAGUGACAUGUGACUAUCUACCUUGAUGCAGUCAAUCUCAAGGUAAAGGAAACUUGAUUAUGAAAGGUUAAAUUAAUUGCAAUUAUGCAACUUCCAAGCUAAUAUACGGCUUUGCAUUUACGUUGUACAUAGUUAAGAAAGCAUUCUACAGUUGUUGAUACAUACUACAAAA